GAUGAACGCUGGCGGCGUGCCUAAUACAUGCAAGUCGAGCGAACAGACGAGGAGCUUGCUUCUCUGACGUUAGCGGCGGACGGGUGAGUAACACGUGGAUAACCUACCUAUAAGACUGGGAUAACUUCGGGAAACCGGAGCUAAUACCGGAUAAUAUUUUGAACCGCAUGGUUCAAUAGUGAAAGACGGUUUUGCUGUCACUUAUAGAUGGAUCCGCGCUGCAUUAGCUAGUUGGUAAGGUAACGGCUUACCAAGGCGACGAUGCGUAGCCGACCUGAGAGGGUGAUCGGCCACACUGGAACUGAGACACGGUCCAGACUCCUACGGGAGGCAGCAGUAGGGAAUCUUCCGCAAUGGGCGAAAGCCUGACGGAGCAACGCCGCGUGAGUGAUGAAGGUCUUCGGAUCGUAAAACUCUGUUAUUAGGGAAGAACAAAUGUGUAAGUAACUAUGCACGUCUUGACGGUACCUAAUCAGAAAGCCACGGCUAACUACGUG
rnacentral:rRNA from 1 species